CCUACGGGGUGCUGCAGUGGGGAAUAUUGCACAAUGGAGGGAACUCUGAUGCAGCGACGCCGCGUGAGUGAAGAAGUAAUUCGUUAUGUAAAGCUCUAUCAGCAGGGAAGAAAGUGACGGUACCUGAAAAAGAAGCCCCGGCUAACUACGUGCCAGCAGCCGCGGUAAUACGUAGGGGGCAAGCGUUAUCCUGAUUUACUGGGUGUAAAGGGAGCGCAGACGGCUGUGCAAGUCUGGAGUGAAAGGCGGGGGCCCAACCCCCGGACUGCUCUGGAAACUGGAAAGCUGGAGUGCAGGAGAGGUAAGCGGAAUUCCUAGUGUAGCGGUGAAAUGCGUAGAUAUUAGGAGGAACACCAGUGGCGAAGGCGGCUUACUGGACUGCAACUGACGUUGAGGCUCGAAAGCGUGGGGAGCAAACAGGAUUAGAUACCCCAGUAGUC
rnacentral:rRNA from 1 species